rnacentral:ncRNA from 1 species
AUCCAAGGAAGGCAGCAGGCGCGCAAAUUACCCAUUCCCGACGCGGGGAGGUAGUGACGAAAAAUAACAAUGCAGGACUCGUUCGAGGCCCUGUAAUUGGAAUGAGUACACUUUAAAAGCUUUAACGAGUAUCCAUUGGAGGGCAAGUCUGGUGCCAGCAGCCGCGGUAAUUCCAGCUCCAAAAGUAUAUAUUUAAGUUGUUGCGGUUAAAAAGCUCGUAGUUGGAUUUUGGGCGCAGGCGGCCGGUCCGUCGCAAGGCGUGUACUGGACGUCCUGGCCUUCCCUCCGGUUCUCCGCCGGUGCUCUUGACUGAGUGUCGGCGGCGGCCGGAACGUUUACUUUGAAAAAAUUAGAGUGUUCAAAGCAGGCUCUCGAGCCUGGAUAAUGGUGCAUGGAAUAAUGGAAUAGGACCUCGGUUCUAUUUUGUUGGUUUUCGGAGCGCGAGGUAAUGAUUAAGAGGGACAGACGGGGGCAUUCGUACUGUGCCGUUAGAGGUGAAAUUCUUGGAUCGGCGCAAGACGAACGACUGCGAAAGCAUUUGCCAAGAAUGUUUUCUUUAAUCAAGAGCGAAAGUCAGAGGUUCGAAGACGAUCAGAUACCGUCCUAGUUCUGACUAUAAACGAUGCCAACUAGCGAUCGGGGGGCGUUACAUUGACGAACCCUCCGGCAGCUUACGGGAAACCAAAG